AUGACCCUGCUCGCUGAAGGACACCAGAAUGAUGCUCCCUGUUUCUGGAGUGUUGGAACACUGGUUUUGCAGAGCUACCAGCUGGCCCUGGAGCUGCAUAGCUUCCCUUGGGGACAGCAGGGGAAAGGGGGCUGGGAAUUAAGUUCUAAUAAAAUAAGCUACAUCUGGGAAAAUGACUUUCAUGCAGGUUUUUUUUUGGUCUGUUUUUGCAUCUUUUCUCCUCUGCGUAGUGUUUCAGCCAAAGUGUAUGGUGCUGUCAGCAUCCACACACAUGGGAGGAUGCUGUAAACCCUGGUCAAACGUUCAGGCUGUGAUGGAUCACUGAGAAUUUCUUUUUUAUCCCCUAAUUCUUCCUUUUUUGUUCUAUUAUACUAAGCCUAUCACUUCAAUCUGAUUAAGUUUAGGGAGAUAAACAUCCUGCCAUCUGUCAUGAAACUUUUUACACUGUUUGCUUGCUGGAGGAAGCGCAGCCGUUUUCCUUUUUGGGUUACAAAGGCUGCAGGGAGAUACUGCCCUGUUUCCCCAAGAACUUAUUUAACACCCCCAUGUGCCCUUGGGCUGCUGUGGCCUCUGAGUUUAGAUUUGAAUUUAGAUUUUAUUUUAAGAGGCAGAUAUGUUUGUCCUCAAACACAAAGAAGGAGGUGCUACUUGGUACUUCAAUUUGCAUUUUGCUGUUUGUAUCUUUGGCUGUGUUACAGCUAAAUGACAGGCUGGGGGGGAGGCAUGGGAGAUGUCCCCCCACCACGGGGAGGGUGCAGUGUGUCUGUCUGCAUGUGAAUAUCACAAAAUGUCCUUUUUUUGUGUGACCCGUGGCUGGGACACCCUUCCUACACAGACGCCACAAGGGAGGGUCCAGCUUGAGGGCUUUCCUGGGAUGUUUUGGGACAUCCCUUCCCAGCACCUAUAGAGAUAUCAAGGAGGUGCAGCCAGGAGAGGAGAAGAGGAAGCUCCAUCAGACUCCAACCCCAUCAAACUCCAGGCAGUGCCACCACCCCGAGGGCAGCGAUGUCCCCAACCCCCGGACCCACAGACGCGCCCGGCCGCGGGGACAGCACAGAGAGGAGACACGGGGCUUAUUGAACCAGGAAGCUUUAUUUACACAGUAAAAGUAACAAGCAAUUUCCUGAGAUUGAGCUGCUCUAGUGCAAUCAAGUCAUGGAGGGGGCAGGAGCAGCCUCCUCCCCGCCCGUGGAGGGGACGCCUCGGGGGCCCCUCCGGGACACGCACGGCCCGCGGCGCUUGUGCAAUUGCCAGCGAGGCUUGGCUACUACAGGUCAUAGCUUCAGAAGGCUUGGGUUUUAUUCUUCUUCCCAUUUUUUUUAAUAUUUUGUGUUUUAUUUGGCCAUCCUCUUCUUUUUCUUUCUUGAACACCGAACCCACACACGCCGCAAAGCACUGCUACAAUCCUAGAACAUCCUACGUCAGUCUGCUCGCCUGG
rnacentral:lncRNA from 1 species